CCAAUAGCGUAUAUUAAAGUUGUUGCAGUUAAAAAGCUCGUAGUUGAAUUUCGGGGUCGGUAGGUUGGUCAUGCCUCAGGUAUGCACUGGUCUCACUGAUUCCUCCUUCCUGAUGAGCCGUAAUGCCAUUAAUUUGGUGUUGCGAGGAAUCUGGACUGUUACUUUGAAAAAAUUAGAGUGUUUAAAGCAAGCUAACGCUUGAAUACAUUAGCAUGGAAUAAUGGAAUAGGACGUUCGAUCCUAUUUUGUUGGUUUCUAGGAUUGACGUAAUGAUUAAUAGGGAUAGUUGGGGGCACUAGUAUUCAAUUGUCAGAGGUGAAAUUCUUGGAUUUAUUGAAGACUAACUACUGCGAAAGCAUUUGCCAAGGAUGUUUUCAUUAAUCAAGAACGAAAGUUAGGGGAUCGAAGACGAUCAGAUACCGUCGUAGUCUUAACCAUAAACUAUGCCGACUAGGGAUCGGAUGAUGUUAAUUUUUUAAUGACUCAUUCGGCGCCUUACG
rnacentral:rRNA from 1 species